CGUAGCCAAAGAUGAUCGACGGAUCGAGGGUCGGGUUGGUCACCACGCGAACCUGCCCUGCCCACUGGUUGGCGUUCUCGUAGUACCAGGGGUCGUAGAGGCCGCCGAACCAGCAAGCCUUGGCUACCAGCAAGAAGGCACCGAUUCCUAGAAGAAUCAGGUGGAUCCCCAGGAUGGUGGUCAUCUUGUUCUUGUCCUUCCA
rnacentral:antisense_RNA from 1 species